UACGUAGGGUGCAAGCGUUGUCCGGAAUUAUUGGGCGUAAAGAGCUCGUAGGCGGUCUGUCGCGUCUGCUGUGAAAACUCAGGGCUUAACCCUGAGCUUGCAGUGGGUACGGGCAGACUAGAGUGCGGUAGGGGAGACUGGAAUUCCUGGUGUAGCGGUGAAAUGCGCAGAUAUUGGGAAGAACACCAGUGGCGAAGGCGGUUCUCUGGGACGGUACUGAACGC
rnacentral:rRNA from 1 species